UACAAUCAGGGUAACCAGAGGGGAAAAAAAUCAUUCACAAGGGUUUAGACAAUGUAAACUUUUCCACCACGCGAACGGGAGCAGCCCCGGCCCCGCAGCCCUCCCCUUUCCUCGGGGAACCUCGCAGAGGCAGGCGAGCUCCCGCGCUACCUUUCCGGAGGGGGAGGCUGGCCGGGGGCAGAGGAGUUAAGCUUCCCUGGCAGGACCCCCGGGCUGCAGCGUCCUGGUGCGAUUACAAAAGCCAAUGGAAAGGCUGUGGGCUUCACCCCGGGCCGUGCUGGGGGGAGGGGGCGAGGGACCGGACCUGGGCUGAGCCUCAGCCUGAGGAGCUGGUUGGAUUCUCCCCGACCCAGAGCUGGAGAAGGGGCUUGUUGUCGGCUGCCUCCGCACUAAGCAAUCAGGACUUGUGGGAGAGGUGAUAUCUUUUCUUAGACCAAAUAGAUUUUUGCAAAAUUUCUAAGCCUGCAGACGUGCUGGCAGCAGGGCUUUCCUAGAGCAUCCCCCCCGGUAAGGCUCCCGGCGGGUUUGCACACAGCCGGCGUGUCCCUUUUCCCGGCCUUCCCGCAGGGAUGUGCUUCUUGCUCGGCGCCCGGCACUCGCACCUCCCGGGCGGUCCGGCGGCUUCCGCCUCCCCAGGGCUCGGGCUCUGCCUGCCGCUCGCUGGCCCCGGGCUCUGCCAGAGCCCGGACAAAAAGCUGCAUCCUUUCCAGAUGGGGUUAAGCGACGCGGCUGGGGUUUGAAGUGGCAGCUGGGCCGGGCGGCUUUGCGGAGCGAGGUUACUGAACGGGACUAGGUGGGAGCUCCUUUCGGGGGCGCACAACAAAGAGGCGAGUGCGCCUGUCCCUCGCGCGCCACAUGCGCUCAGCCCGGACUUUACACAUCAAACAAGACGAGACGUUGCACUUUCACUUUCAUUUGCAAUGAGAAACCUGCUGGCACCAAACAGGGAGGAGGAGGGGGAGGGAAGCCCAAGGAUGUCUUCCAUGCAGUGAGAUCCUGAACAUAAUCUGGCAUACAGAUCGGAAACGGGAAAGGGUCUAGGGGAAGGUCGUCUCGCACUGGUGUGAUCUGCUGAAUCAUUUAUGCGGAGUGAGGCGAAGGGCGAGCUGGGGGUGCUGGUGCUCGGGGGGCGAGAGGGUGGAACUGGCGUCUUGAAAUCCCAGCUCUCACACCCGCCAAGUUAAUUUCCGAUUGCCAAAAGGAGAGAGGGGUGGGGGAAAAAUCCCUUCCUGAAUCUAGGCUCUAAGAUUUCAAGCUUCUGCUAACAUUAUUUCCCAUCUGAUGGGGUUUUUUUCAUCCUACGCCGGAGGUAGUAGGUGUAAUUCUUCUGGUGAAUCCAUGAAUAGUUGGCUUAAGUCUGAAAUGAUUCAGACUGGAAACGUCCAAGAGGAGUUAUUCCAAUUCUUCUCCGAGUCCUGAAAGCGAAAAGCAUCAGUCUACAGAGUCAAUCGUCCUCAUCGUGACCUUAAUCAGGAUUUGGCUAUGUGCCACUUCAAAUGUAGAGCUUGGUCCUGUGGUUGGCAUUGACAGCUCCAAAUAAACACGCUCCAUAUGGGAGCGGCACGUUUGCUUUUAAGAUAAAGAGCCAUUCUAGAGGAGUUUGGAUUGCUGCACACAGGCACGUGGGCUCGCUCCUCACAGUAGCUCUAAGUAUUAAGAACCUUUAAAAGUAGUUUAUUUGUCAUCGAUCGCACUGAAAUGUGCCGGGGAUGGACAACACAACACGACUCCCGCGCGGUCUUUGACCAAACUACUGUUCCAAGGACUUUAGGGUAACAAAACAUCUCCAGAGCAGAGUGUAACUACAAAUGUCAUGUCUGAACUGUGAAAUAACGCCCCUAAGAGAUGCCAGAAUUCAGACAGAAAACUGUUUUAUUCUCGGGAUCUGUGGUCAACCUGACGAUGCCCUUCAUGUAAUUGCUUAUUCAAAGAGCGCCAUCCUGCGGCUGAAUGCGAACUUUCCUCUGAAUAUUUGGAGGAAGAAGUCUGUGGACAUCUCUUAAAUACAGUCUAAGAAAAAAUAUGAAAAAUAUUGCUCAAACAUAUACAUCAUGAAGACACAGAAAACAUGUCCAUGAUAAUGGCCAUUUAAGAAAUACCACAAAAAGGAUUUAUAUCAAGGAUGAAUUUGGCCCAAUGGGCUUACUCAUGGAAUGAAGAGGAGCAGUUCUUGGCUCAAACCUUAUGUUUCACUGUUUUGUUGUGUUUCCAUUUGUAGAAUAAGUCAUUUAGCAGUCAUCUACAAGAUCUAUGAACAGCAAAGUUGAGACAAAUUUUAAAGUUUUCCACAAUGGAAAACCAGAUUGGAAGAAUUGCUCAUAGUUUGGGGUAUGUGAAGACAUGGAAACUGUCAAAAUUCUCCACAUACAUGCACAAAUUAUUAACUUGAUUAACUGCUAAUUUUGAUUGUAGGAUGAAAGUUCUAAAAUGUCAAGUUAUAACUAUCAGCAACAUAAGACAAUUCCAUAGGAAUUAAGUGAUUAUAAACCAGAUCACUUAUGAAAAAAAUCUCUGCCUGAGAGGUAUUUUGUUUAAAUGAUUAUCAUGUUUGUAUUUAUAGACAUCAUAGAAAACUUGAAAUGAUCUUGAAAUUAUCAAGAGUUAAAGAACUGAAUGAAUCUAACUUCUUCCAUAUUGCUGGAUUAAAUGUCAGGAAAAGAUAAAUUAAAAUGAUUAUUUACAGAUUUCUAAGUAGCAUUAGGUAUGCAUAUUGCUUUGCACACAGAAUAGAAGUCAGUAUAAUUUAGAUAAAUUCAAAGAAUGUUACAGACCUUGGAAAAAUACAGUCACUUAUAUCUUACUGACUGAUUGUCCCAGAAAAUGUUAAGGACCUAUAUACCCCUUCCAAGAUAACACUGACAACUCAGAAACAAAACUAUCACUAAGACAGGAGUUUGGCCAUCAGAUAAAAGACCCUUCCUUUCACAGCAACUGGAAACGACAAGAUACCACUCAUUCGCCACUGCAACUUCCAAAACUGUAUAGCAAGCAUGGUAUGGAUGCUGGGAGGGAAUCAGUUCCUUUCCCAGCUUCUUGCCAGUAGCUUCAUGGGUGGAGAACUAUUGGGUGGAGGAGACUAUAUCUAUAAAUGGCUGAUUGUAGAAGCAUAUUUGCAUGAGCUCCCCACCAUUUGAAUGUUUCUACAUAAACAUAACAAUUGGCUGAGGAUUUGUUGGCUUGACCUAAAGCUAAUUUAAAUGGGAAAUAAGUGAUUUACACCUAACCUAGUGCUAUGGACAUCACUCAACUGGCAAGCCCACAUAAUCAUAGUUAUAUCACCUGUGUAACUUUUAGAUAAGACAUGGCCCUCUUGACAUUAUAGAAUAAUGGGUUGGAAGGGACCUCAAGGUUUAUCUAGUCCAAUCCCCAGGAAAAAUAUUCUAAUUAAUACACUUAAAAUGCAUUAAUUUUGUAUAAAUUUUGGCAUGUUAUAUGGUAAAUUCAUAUUGUUGUAGUUAAAGAUAAAACAAAAACAAAGACUUUCAAAUAAAAGACUGGUGAGUCACAAAUAA